rnacentral:tRNA from 1 species
GCAUUGGUAGUUCAGUGGUAGAAUUCUCACCUUCCAUGUGGGAGACUCGUGUUCAGUUCGUGGCCAAGGUA